GGACGAACGCUGGCGGCGUGCUUAACACAAUGCAAGUCGAGCGAGACCCUUCUUCGGGAGGGUGUUCUAGCGGCGAACGGGUGAAGUAACACGUGGGCAACCUGCCCUCAGCUCUGGGAUAACUCCAAGAAAUUGGGGCUAAUACCGGAUAUGACCGCUGACCGCAUGGUCUGGUGGUGGAAAGAUUUAUCGGCUGGGGAUGGGCCCGCGGCCUAUCAGCUUGUUGGUGGGGUAUGGCCACCAAGGCGACGACGGGUAGCCGGCCUGAGAGGGUGACCGGCCACACUGGGACUGAGACACGGCCCAGACUCCUACGGGAGGCAGCAGUGGGGAAUAUUGCGCAAUGGGCGAAAGCCU
rnacentral:rRNA from 1 species